rnacentral:lncRNA from 1 species
UUAUUCCUGAACCAAUAACUCUGGCUAGAGGGACGGAAUAUGCUGUAGACUUAAGUUAAGCAAGACCUCUUCCUGGAACUGGGAGAAGGUCAUUUCAGCCUUAGCCACCUGGCUUGAAAGUCCAAGGUCCUGUAGGAAUGGAGAAUGGAGGCUGACAUGGCACACCUAUUCGCCGAGGCAUCACCUGGAUCCUACAGAGUCAGCCUUGGCCAUCAGUGAUGGUGAAAGCAACAGAUGUCAGAUGUCAGCCCCUGGCUUCCUGCCUUACCGUAGAGGGAUACUCGACAGACAGACUGGACAGAUCACUCAUGCUGGGGAAAGCCAGGUGUCAUGUCUUGGGGAAUCCAGGUGUUAUGUCUUAAGGACAGGCUGGCAGACCUGUGCAUACGCCCAUGUAGCGAGAAACUAGACCCUCAGCUCAAGACACUGAAAGAAACCUCAUGAAACAACUUGAAGCUCUGACCCUGAACCACCUAGCUAAACUGCUCUUAGAUACCUGAUUCUCAGAUACUAUUGAGAAAAUAAACAAUAAUUAUUUUAUG